rnacentral:RNase_P_RNA from 1 species
UCGCAAGGUCAGACAGUCGCCGCGUGGCAACACGGGGAGGAAAGUCCGGGCUACAUAGAGCAAAAUGCCAGUUAACGGCUGGGUAUCGCAAGAUAACGGAAAGUGGCACAGAAAACAAACCGCCGCAAGGUAAGGGUGAAAAGGCGUGGUAAGAGCACACCGCAUCACGGGUAACCGUCAUGGCAGGCUAAACCCCAUUUGUAGCAAGACCAAAUAGAAUACGCAGAUGCUGCUCGCGGAGUAUUCGGGUAGGUUGCUUGAACUUAUUGGCGACAAUAAGUCUAGAUGAAUGACUGUCCAACGACAGAACCCGGCUUAUCGACCUUACGAUGGU